AAAGAAAUAAUCUAAUUUAAGAUAUCUCACUUACAAUGAGAAUAUGAUUUAUUCUUUCUUUU
rnacentral:tRNA from 1 species